CACUAUCGUUAACUGAAUACAUAGGUUAACGAGGCGAACCGGGGGAACUGAAACAUCUAAGUACCCCGAGGAAAAGAAAUCAACCGAGAUUCCCCCAGUAGCGGCGAGCGAACGGGGAGCAGCCCAGAGUCUGAAUCAGCUUGUGUGUUAGUGGAACGGUCUGGAAAGUCCGACGGUACAGGGUGAUAGUCCCGUACACCAAAAUGCACAGGUUGUGAACUCGAAGAGUAGGGCGGGACACGUGGUAUCCUGUCUGAAUAUGGGGGGACCAUCCUCCAAGGCUAAAUACUCCUGACUGACCGAUAGUGAACCAGUACCGUGAGGGAAAGGCGAAAAGAACCCCGGCGAGGGGAGUGAAAAAGAACCUGAAACCGUGUACGUACAAGCAGUGGGAGCACCUUCGGGUGUGACUGCGUACCUUUUGUAUAAUGGGUCAGCGACUUAUAUUCUGUAGCAAGGUUAACCGUAUAGGGGAGCCGCAGGGAAACCGAGUCUUAACUGGGCGUUAAGUUGCAGGGUAUAGACCCGAAACCCGGUGAUCUAGCCAUGGGCAGGUUGAAGGUUGGGUAACACUAACUGGAGGACCGAACCGACUAAUGUUGAAAAAUUAGCGGAUGACUUGUGGCUGGGGGUGAAAGGCCAAUCAAACCGGGAGAUAGCUGGUUCUCCCCGAAAGCUAUUUAGGUAGCGCCUCGUGAACUCAUCUUCGGGGGUAGAGCACUGUUUCGGCUAGGGGGUCAUCCCGACUUACCAACCCGAUGCAAACUACGAAUACCGAAGAAUGUUAUCACGGGAGACACACGGCGGGUGCUAACGUCCGUCGUGAA
rnacentral:rRNA from 1 species